CCGGAGUGCUGGGCCAGCGGCAGAGCCUCGUUGUCUGCGGCCGCGGAGCUCUUCAGCUCGAAGCUGGACACUUCGGG
rnacentral:tRNA from 1 species